ACCCAGACUCCUACGGGAGGCAGCAGUGGGGAAUAUUGCACAAUGGGGGAAACCCUGAUGCAGCGACGCCGCGUGAGUGAAGAAGUAUUUCGGUAUGUAAAGCUCUCUCAGCAGGGAAGAAAAUGACGGUACCUGACUAAGAAGCCCCGGCUAACUACGUGCCAGCAGCCGCGGUAAUACGUAGGGGGCAAGCGUUAUCCGGAUUUACUGGGUGUAAAGGGAGCGUAGACGGUAGAGCAAGUCUGAAGUGAAAGGCCGCGGCGCAAAUGCGGGACUGCUUUGGAAACUGUUGAACUGGAGGGCUGGAGAGGUAAGCGGAAUUCCUAGUGUAGCGGUGAAAUGCGUAGAUAUUAGGAGGAACACCAGGGGCGAAGGGGGCCUGCUGGACUGCAACUGACGUUGAGGCUCGAAGGCGUGGGG
rnacentral:rRNA from 1 species